UGGGCCUACGGGAGGCAGCAGUAGGGAAUCUUCCACAAUGGACGAAAGUCUGAUGGAGCAACGCCGCGUGAGUGAAGAAGGGUUUCGGCUCGUAGAGCUCUGUUGGUAGUGAAGAAAGAUAGAGGUAGUAACUGGCCUUUAUUUGACGGUAAUUACUUAGAAAGUCACGGCUAACUACGUGCCAGCAGCCGCGGUAAUACGUAGGUGGCAAGCGUUGUCUGGAAUUACUGGGGGUAAAGGGAGCGCAGGCGGGAAGACAAGUCAGCUGUGAAAACUUCGGG
rnacentral:rRNA from 1 species